GACGAACGCUGGCGGCGUGCUUAACACAUGCAAGUCGAACGAAGUGGCGAACGGGUGAGUAACGCGUAAUCAACCUGCCCUUCAGAGGGGGACAACAGUUGGAAACGAAUGCUAAUACCGCAUACGGAAGGAGGGGAUUGAGUCGGAUUAGCUAGUUGGAGGGGAAACGGCCCACCAAGGCGAUGAUCAGUAGCCGGUCUGAGUGGGUUAACGGCCACAUUGGGACGGAGAAACGGCCCAGUCUCCGACGGGAGGCAGCAGGGGGGAAUCGUCCGCAAUGGAAGAAAGUCUGACGGAGCAACGCCGCGUGAGGGAUGAAGGCCUUCGGGUUGUAAAGCUUUGUUAAUCGGGACGCGGUACCGGAAUAGAAAGCCACGGCUAACUACGUGCCAGCAGCCGCGGUAAUAC
rnacentral:rRNA from 1 species